rnacentral:rRNA from 1 species
UCAGACGAUGCGUCAUGCAUAUCAAUAAGCGGAGGAAAAGAAACUAACAAGGAUUCCCCUAGUAACGGCGAGUGAAGCGGGAAGAGCUCAAAUUUGAAAUCUUAAAGGGUUUCCCUUUACGAAUUGUAGUUUAAAGAAGUGUUUUCUGUUGAGGUUUUGGUAAAAGUUCUUUGGAAUAGGACAUCAUAGAGGGUGAGAAUCCCGUAUUUGACCUUUACUUUCAACUUUGUGAUACACUUUCAAAGAGUCGGAUUGUUUGGGAAUGCAGUCCAAAAUGGGUGGUAAAUUUCAUCUAAAGCUAAAUAUUGGCGAGAGACCGAUAGCGAACAAGUACCGUGAGGGAAAGAUGAAAAGAACUUUGAAAGGAGAGUUAAACAGUACGUGAAAUUGUCAAAAGGGAAGCGUUUGACACCAGUGUUGUUUUUCUGAAAAUUAAUUAAAGAACUGUUUAUGCUAAGCUGUUUAGACUUUAUCAGCUAACUGUUUAGUUUUGAGCUUUUCUUUAAUGCACUUUUCAGUUAACAAGUCAACAUCAAUUUCUUUCGCUGUAAAAAAGCUUGAGGAAGGUGGCUUGAGAUUCGUCUUAAGUGUUUAUAGCCUCUUGCCUAUGCAGUCGGAGAGAUUGAGGUCUGCAGCGUAGAUCCUUCGGGGCUAAAUGCAUUUGUGCUAAGUUAUAGCAUUUUAUAGACAACUUGUUGACUAUGAUUUGUCUUGUAGCUUACUCGCUUAUGUUAUUUUACCUACGCUUAGGAUGUUGAAUCUGUGCGAGACUAC